rnacentral:tRNA from 1 species
GGGUGGGUUAGAUCAGUGGUUAGAGCUUAUGUCUUGUGACCAAAAGAUCCCGGGUUUGAAUCUCGCCAGCGCA